rnacentral:tRNA from 1 species
AAAGGUAUUCAUUGUGGUAGAGUGCAUGCCUAGCACAUAUGGAGUCCUGGGUUCAAUUCCCAGUACCUUCA